UUAAGUUCAGCGGGUAGUCUCACCCGAUUUGAGGUCAAGGGUUCGUGAGGUUGAGAGCGUCGGGAGACGUGCUCAAACGUUGUCUCAUAGAGACGGUUAGAAGCGGGUCCCAAAAGCAACAGAGCCAGAAACCAAGACAUGGAAACAUCUUAUCACAUGUCGAGGACCAGCAAAGAGGACCCCGCUAAUUCAUUUAAGAG
rnacentral:misc_RNA from 1 species